UACGGAGGGGGCGAGCGUUAUUCGGAAUUAUUGGGCGUAAAGGGCGCGUAGGCGGCUUUUCAAGUGAGGGGUGAAAUCCCUCGGCUUAACCGAGGAACUGCCUGUCAGACUGGAAGGCUUGAGACCGGGAGAGGUGAGUGGAAUUCCCAGUGUAGCGGUGAAAUGCGUAGAUAUUGGGAGGAACACCAGUGGCGAAGGCGGCUCACUGGACCGGAACUGACGCUGAGGCGCGAAAGCGUGGGGAGCAAACAGG
rnacentral:rRNA from 1 species